UCUAACCUCCUCCCUGUAGCUGGUUGCCAGGGCUCUAACCUCCUCCCUGUAGCUGGUUGCCAGGGCUCUAACCUCCUCCCUGUAGCUGGUUGCCAGCGCUAUAACCUCCUCCCUGGACUUCCAAACUUAAUGACGGUGUUGGAGUGGCAGAUGUGUUGUUACCUACCCUCACCACCAGGGGGCAGCCCAUCAGGAAGUCCAGGAUCCAGUUAUAGAGGGAGGUGCUCAUACCAAGGGCCUUCAGCUUUAGUGUCAAGCUUGGAGUGGACAACAUCCUCACACAGGUGUUCCUCGUGUCCAGGUGGGAGAGGCCUGUGUCCAUCGUGUCUGAAUGAAUGUUUUUGCACCUCUAUGUUGUACCAGAAAAUGACCCAUCGGGUAAUUUGUCAUGUUCAGUGAUUAGUAAUGUUUUGAGCUAGUCUAUAUAUAAAAUGGACACAUCUAAUUUAAUGUGAUAAAAUAAUGAACAGAUUGCAUUUUGCACCCCGUACCGCCGUCACCUCAAAAUGAAUGGUUCUGAUUACUCAAAAGUCUAGUUGUUUCUUUGCUUGCGCUCCACUGCGUUGGCCCAGUGCGUUGGCCCAGUGUGUUGGGGCCCACUGCGUUGGCCCAGUGCGUUGGCCCAGUGUGUUGGGGCCCAGUGUGUUGGGGCCCAGUGUGUUGGGGCCCAGUGUGUUGGCCCAGUGUGUUAGCCCAGUGUGUUGGGGCCCAGUGUGUUGGCCCAGUGCGUUGGCCCAGUCCGUUGGCCCAGUGUGUUAGCCCAGUGUGUUAGCCCAGUGUGUUGGGGCCCAGUGUGUUGGCCCAGUGCGUUGGCCCAGUGUGUUGGCCCAGUGCGUUGGCCCAGUCCGUUGGCCCAGUGUGUUGGCCCAGUCCGUUGGCCCAGUGCGUUGGCCCAGUCCGUUGGCCCAGUCCGUUGGCCCAGUGUGUUGGCCCAGUGUGUUAGCCCAGUGUGUUGGGGCCCAGUGUGUUGGCCCAGUGCGUUGGCCCAGUCCGUUGGCCCAGUGUGUUGGGGCCCAGUGCGUUGGCCCAGUCCGUUGGCCCAGUCCGUUGGCCCAGUGCAUUGGCCCAGUGCGUUGGGGCCCAGUGCGUUGGGGCCCAGUGUGUUGGCCCAGUGUGUUGGGGCCCAGUGUGUUGGGGCCCAGUGUGUUGGCCCAGUGUGUUGGCCCAGUGUGUUGGGGCCCAGUGUGUUGGGGCCCAGUGUGUUGGCCCAGUGUGUUGGGGCCCAGUGUGUUGGGGCCCAGUGUGUUGGCCCAGUGUGUUGGGGCCCAGUGUGUUGGGGCCCAGUGCGUUGGCCCAGUGCGUUGGCCCAGUGUGUUGGCCCAGUGUGUUGGGGCCCAGUGUGUUGGGGCCCAGUGUGUUGGGGCCCAGUGUGUUGGGGCCCAGUGUGUUGGGGCCCAGUGUGUUGGGGCCCAGUGUGUUGGGGCACAGUGUUUAGAAGGCACUAGUUUCACCACUGGUGUUUAGAUGAAAAGGCUCCUGCUAAAGACAAUGUUUAUCUACUUUAUUGUGCUGUUACAUUUGUAUCGUUGUUUUAAUGUUCGAUGGUGUCGGUCCGAUGCUGCUGAUCCAAUGGUGUUGAUCCGAUGCUGUCGAUCCAAUGGUGUCGAUCCGAUGCUGUUGAUCCAAUGCUGCUGAUCCAAUGCUGUCGAUCCAAUGGUGUUGAUCCGAUGCUGCUGAUCCAAUGGUGUUGAUCCGAUGCUGUUGAUCCGAUGCUGUUGAUCCGAUGCUGCUGAUCCAAUGGUGUUGAUCCGAUGCUGCUGAUCCAAUGCUGUUGAUCCGAUGCUGCCGAUCCAAUGCUGCUGAUCCAAUGGUGUUGAUCCGAUGCUGCUGAUCCAAUGGUGUUGAUCCGAUGCUGUCGAUCCAAUGCUGCUGAUCCAAUGGUGUUGAUCCGAUGCUGUCGAUCCAAUGGUGUUGAUCCGAUGCUGUAGUUAAAUAUCAUUGAGCUGCGUGCACCACAAGCUGUUUACAGGCAUUGAACACCAUUCGGCAUUUUGCCGUCUAUUUUCCAACUUCAAAUCGGUUAAAUCACAUUGUUAAAAUGUUUUCAUUCAGUUACAAAAGUAACAGUCCUGGCCCAUAUGAUAGUGUGCGGUGGCCACAUCAAGGUUACAAUGUAGCCAAGCUGUGUCUGUAUGCCCUAUGGUCCAAAUGAAAAAGCACAGGACGUGCGUCUGGAUAAAACAGCUCUGCCUGGCAACACGAGGGGCUAAAGGGGGAUGAUCCCUCAGCUGAAACUUGAUCCCUCUCAGCUGAAACUUGAUCCCUCUCAGCUGAAACUUGAUCCCUCUCAGCUGAAACUUGAUCCCUCUCAGCUGAAACUUGAUCCCUCUCAGCUGAAACUUGAUCCCUCUCAGUUGAUCCCCCUCAGUUUACAUUGUUUGGAAACUGAUAUGUGAUAAGUAUUAAUGCAAAAAUAACAUGCAAAACAGGCAACACAAAAUAAAAUAAUAUAAAAAAAUAAAUAAUAAUAAAAAAGAAUUUCUGGCCAGAAAUCUUUGGGUCAAAUACUUAUUUCCCUCAUUAAAAUGCAAAUCAUUUUAUAACAUGCGUUUUUCUGGAUAUUUUCAUUGUUAUUCUGUCUCUCACUGUUCAAAUAAACCUACCAUUAAAAUUAUAGACUGAUCAUUUCUUUGUCAGUGGGCAAUUAUCUACAUAAUUUUUCUGCCUUUUGAUGCUAUCUAUUUUGUGAAGUGCACCAGUCCCUCCUGCAGCAAAGCACCCCCACAACAUGAUGCUGCCACCCCCGUGCUUCACGGU
rnacentral:lncRNA from 1 species